rnacentral:lncRNA from 1 species
ACCCCAACCCCAAUAGGAGGCGGUGUGGGGACACCGGGGGUCCGGGACACCCAGACAACAGCCCCAAUAGGAGGUGGCAGCGGGCACAGUGGGGAUCCGGGACCCCAAACCCUAGGGGAGGUGGUGGUGGGGACUCCAGGGAUCUGGGACCCCAACCCCUAGGGGAGGUGGUAGCGGGGACAGCGGGGAUCCGGGACCCCAAACCCUAGGGGAGGUGGUAAUGGGGACACCAGGGAUCUGGGACCCCAACCUCUAGGGGAGGUGGUAGCGGGGACAGCGGGGAUCCGGGAGCCCAACCCCAAUAGGAGGUGGUGGUGGGGACACCGGGGGUCCAGGACCCCAACCCCUAGGGGAGGUGGCAGCGGGGACAGCGGGGAUCUGGGACCCCAACCUCUAGGGGAGGUGGUAAUGGGGACAAAGGGGAUCUGGGACCCCAACCCCUAGGGGAGGUGGUAGCGGGGACAGCGGGGAUCCGGGAGCCCAACCCCAAUAGGAAGUGGUGUGGGGACACCGGAGGUCCGGGACACCCAGACACCAGCCCCAGUAGGAGGUGGCAGUAGGGACAGUGGGGAUCCGGGACCCCAACCCCAAUAGGAGGUGGUGUGGGGACACCGGGGGUCCGGGACACCCAGACCCCAGCCCCUAAGGGAGGUGGCAGCGGGGACACCAGGGAUCCAGGACCCCAAACCCUAGGGGAGGUGGUGGUGGGGACAGCGGGGAUCCGGAGCCCCAACCCCAAUAGGAGGUGGUGUGGGGACACCGGGGGUCCGGGACCCCAACCCCUAGGGGAGGUGGUGGUGGGGACAGCGAGGAUCCAGGACACCCAGCCCCCAGCCCCUGGGGGUGGGGACAUCGGGUAUCCGGGACCCCAACCCCUUGGGGAGGUGGUGGUGGGGACUCUGGGGACUCAGGACACCUGGUCCCCAACCCCUAUGAGAGGUGGCAGUGGGGACACUGGGGGUGCCCCAAUAGGAGGUGGCAGAGGGGACAUGGGGCACCCGGGACACC